GCUCAGAACGAACGCUGGCGGCGUGGAUUAGGCAUGCAAGUCGAGCGAGAAAGGGGUAGCAAUACCCCGAGUAAAGCGGCGAACUGGUGAGUAACAGGUGGGUAAUGUGCCCUGAAGUGGGGGAUAACACGGGGAAACUCGUGCUAAUACCGCAUGUGACCGGUUGGACCAUGGUCCGGCUGGUCAAAGACUUCGGUCGCUUCAGGAUCGGCCCGCCCCCGAUUAGCUAGUUGGUGAGGUUAUGGCUCACCAAGGCUACGAUCGGUAGCUGGUCUGAGAGGAUGGUCAGCCACACUGGGACUGAGAUACGGCCCAGACUCCUACGGGGGGCAGCAGUCUAGAGGCUUCGUCAAUGGGGGCAACCCUGAACGAGCGACGCCGCGUGCGGGAUUGAAGGCCUUCGGGUUGUAAACCGCUGUCAAGAGGGAAGAAUGCCCGAGUGGUGAACUCGGGAGCGACGGUACCUCUGGAGGAAGCCCCGGCUAACUCCGUGCCAGCAGCCGCGGUAAUACGGAGGGGGCAAGCGUUGUUCGGAUUUACUGGGCGUAAAGGGUGUGUAGGCGGCCGCGCAAGUCUGGUGUGAAAUCUUCGCCGCUUAACGGGAAGAGGUCACUGGAAACUGCGUGGCUCGAGUAUGGUAGAGGCGAGCGGAAUUCCUGGUGUAGCGGUGGAAUGUGUAGAUAUCAGGAAGAACAUCUGUGGCGAAGGCGGCUCGCUGGGCCAUUACUGACGCUGAGACACGAAAGCGUGGGGAGCAAACGGGAUUAGAUACCCCGGUAGUCCACGCUGUAAACUGUGCGCACUAGGUGUGGGGGGUAUCGACCCCUCCCGUGCCGACGUUAACACAUUAAGUGCGCCGCCUGGG
rnacentral:rRNA from 1 species